rnacentral:rRNA from 1 species
UGGGGAAUAUUGCACAAUGGGGGGAAACCCGUGAUGCAGCGACGCCGCGUGAAGGAAGAAGUAUCUCGGUAUAUAAACUUCUAUCAGCAGGGAAGAUAGUGACGGUACCUGACUAAGAAGCCCCGGCUAACUACGUGCC